AACGAACGCUGGCGGCAUGCCUAACACAUGCAAGUCGAACGAGGUCUUCGGGUCUAGUGGCGCACGGGUGCGUAACGCGUGGGAAUCUGCCCUUUGGUUCGGAGUAACAGUUGGAAACGACUGCUAAUACCGGAUGAUGACGAAAGUCCAAAGAUUUAUCGCCAGAGGAUGAGCCCGCGUAGGAUUAGCUAGUUGGUGUGGUAAAGGCGCACCAAGGCGACAAUCCUUAGCUGGUCUGAGAGGAUGAUCAGCCACACUGGGACUGAGACACGGCCCAGACUCCUACGGGAGGCAGCAGUGGGGAAUAUUGGACAAUGGGCGAAAGCCUGAUCCAGCAAUGCCGCGUGAGUGAUGAGGGCCUUAGGGUUGUAAAGCUCUUUUACCCGGGAUGAUAAUGACAGUACCGGGAGAAUAAGCUCCGGCUAACUCCGUGCCAGCCGCCGCGGUAA
rnacentral:rRNA from 1 species